rnacentral:lncRNA from 1 species
AUUGGUCAAUGGCACAGUGCCGUGAGGCUCAUUCAUAUUCUAGCCGUCUCUGAGCAAAAAACCUGGGAAGGGUGGGGCGGCGGGGAAGGAGGGGCCCACCGCAGGGAGGAAUGCCCGGGGUCUGAAAGCCAGGGUAGAGCCUGGGGCCCCCUCGGCGCCAAACCGAACCCGGCCCUGAGCGCCCGCGUCGGCCUCCCGCCGGCCUGGGCGGCCCCUUCCCAGCGGCGGGUGCGGGGAGGGCGAGAAGCCGGGGCUCGGCCGGGCUGCGGGCGCAGCGCCUCGCCGCGCUCCACCUCGCUCCUCCCGCCCGGGGGGCAAGCCAGGGACCCCCCACCUUGGCGACCGGCCCGCGGGGAGCUGCGAGGAGCGCUGCCGGCCCCUCCUCUCCUGGGAGCUGGGCUAGGCGGCCGGGCCGGGCAUGGGAGCCCGGGCCUGGAGGCCCCCGCCCCGACGCCCCUGCCCAGUCCCCAGAGGACUGCACCUCCCGGGACCCCGGGCCGAGCGGGUCCUGCCCCAGCGGAGCCACCAGCCCCGGCAGAGGCGGUGAGCGCACCCCGCCGCCCCGCAGCGGGAGCCGCUACUCACCGUCCCCGCCCGCCGCGGACCCGCCGCCCGGAGACCGGCUCCUCCCGGUCGCGGCGCAACCACCGCCGCCGCCGCCUCCCGGCGCGCCAGCUGCCCCGGGGGACCGCCCGGCUGGCUCGCGCGCUCUCUCGCUCUCCUCAGAAUGACUCCGAUUUUUUAAUGAACUUUAUUGGCAGCCCGGGCUCGGAACAAGCGGCUCAGCGGCGGCUCCGCCGGGGGCGGCGGGGCGCGGGAGACUCGACGCCCCUCAUCUGCGGAGCAUGCGCCGGGCUCGGUCUGCGCCUGCGCCGCGCCGGCCCGCCCGCGCCAGCCCUGGUCUGGCUGGUCCGGGAGGGCGACUGCUCUGCGUUCCCCGCGCCUCCUGGGGGACCCCGGGGUGCAGUGGGGACGCCGGAGGCGGCAGGAGCUCCUGCAUCGUGGACUCGAGCAAAGAGGAAUUGA